GAGGAUUUUGGUUUUAUUGAUGGAAUAUCCCUCAUGUCUCUUGUAAUGAGAGCUCGCCUUGAGCAUUUUCUCUCUGAUGUUUAGCUUUUGACUGUCAAACCCAAAAAUUCUUGGCUGGCUGAAGUUUAAUUGGGUCUAAGGAGUUUGCUCCUUGUUAUGAAGGGUUUUUUAUGGGCAUCACAAAGAUUUCCUUGAGUUCAGAGCUGCUGGAGUAUUGAAGUGACUUGUAAUACUAGUGAGUUUGGUUUGCCUGUUAACACCUUCCAAAGCUGCAGCUUUUGAAAGGAUAAGGACUGAUGUGCUCCUGCUGUUUGUAAAUGGCUACAUCUGCCUGUUCUUGGGGGCAGAGUUGAGCAUGUUUUGAGGUGUUAUCUGGUGGAAAUUUCAGUC